CGCCUGGCCCAGAGUGGGAUCUUAAAGCAGAGUCUGGCUCAAGAUUGAGACAAUUCCCAGCAGAAUGAAUGGAGCAGUAACACAGUCAGAAGGCCCUGAGGGAGGCAGGUGGCUCUCUCUGUUCCUGCCAGCACUCUCUCCCCCACUUCUGAUAACAGACCUGCCGUACCAUGGGAAGAUGGCCAAAAAUGGCCGCCCACGGUACUUGUUCCUCGGCUACAGUAAUUGGUCCAUGUGUAGGCAUGUGACCCAUCAUGACCAAUCAUAGCAGCCCACUUCUGAGCGGGGGCACAGCAAUUGUUCCAGGUGUAGUCAUGUGACUCAAGCAGGGCGAAUUCAGGAUUGUCUGCAGAGCUUGUGGGGAGGAUGUUUCUUUCUCUCCCUCCUCCUCUCUGGCAUCCAGGCCUUAAAGAGGUAGACUUGGCACUACCAGUGGCCUCAGACAAUAAGGCCAAUAAGCAGAGAGGAGGAGAAAUGAAACAUGAGGUGAGGGGGUUAGGACAGGAAGAGAACCCAGAGCUUCCAGUCCCUGGAUCCUAGAGAGCAAUACAGCCUCUUCCCUUUCCUCAUCGUAGCUACCCAGUGAAUAAAUCCCUCGUUCUACCUCAUUCAGAUCAACUUCAGUGCCUGUUGUUUGCAACCCACAGUGUCCCAAUUCAGGACUUGGGAACUGUUUUCCUUUUCAUGGAUUGUGUAGAACUGAAAGGGAUACGUCAUUCUCAGAACUUAUAUUCUUGUUCCGAUGUGCCAGCUGUACUUAAAAAUAAAAGAAUCCCAGACCCAUCUCCAUGUUCACCACCACCCCUCCUGUUAAUUUCCUGCUGAAUUGCAGCUCAACGCAUGUGCUGGGAUUUCAAGUCCUGCCCUAAUCAAUUUACUACCACCUCCCCAACCUUAACCCCAACCUACACGCACCUUCCUACGCUGGCCUGUGCGUGCAGCCUGCCCUGGCCUCUACUGUGACGCCUACCACGUUAUAUUUGUAAUGAUUUGUUUAUGACUGUCCCCAUACUAGGGAAGGCAUCGAGCUUGAGGAAGAGGCCCCAUUCAUCUCCGUACCCCAGGCCCUGGUACACAGCAGGCAGAUAAACCUGCCAGUAAUUUCAGCAAAUGAAACGUGGAACACGUCAAGGCCAGAGGAUGGAAAAGGCUCCAGUUUUGAUAAAAGGAGGCCUGCUUGGCUUGGAAUCCUCUCUCCUGCUGGUUGGGAGAUGCAAAGAUGUUUCCAGAGAGGGGCUGAUGAAUUGAGGGGAAAGAAAUGAGCCCAGUAUGAGUCCCCUUUCAGGGCUGAGCGUGUAUAAAACCAAACAACUUGGAACCGCUCCAAGAGAGGGGAUUAAAGCAACAUGUUAUUCUGAGUGAUUGCUUAAUUUAUUGAGCUGCGGCUGGAUCUGUAAUGAAAUACAGCCCUUGUAACUGAUAACCUCCUGCUGCCAUUGAACUUCUACAAUUAAGGAAUAUUUUCUGAGUUUCUCUGGAACGGCUCUGAAUUUUUAGCCUCUGUGGUAGGGUGCUUCUGAACAUUUGUUUUCCAGGCAAUUUUUUUUGAGUAUUAGGCUGAUGUUAAUAAAUAAGCAGCAUUUUAUUGAGUG
rnacentral:lncRNA from 1 species